GAAGAAGAAGCCAUCUUGUUUUGACAUGUGUAAGGGAUGUGACAAUGUGGUCUACAAACAUCUCCCUCCAUCGCUGUUGAGCCUUCAAGAAGCUGCGUUGAUAACAUAAUCCAGCAGACUCCUGUAGGCUUGGAUCAGUUUUGUCGUCUGAAUCUGACAUGCCGACUCUUUCCCGUGCCGCCAACUUUCGGCGAUAGAGAUGUGGCGCUUUGCGUUCUCGACCUGGCCGUGGAGCAUGAGGUGGAAGGAAUGUUCCAGACAGAUCUGGAGGAGGUAAACAACAAUUCAGCAGGAGGGGCCGCCGUGUGUGACACAGUUGUGCACAGCGGUGGAGGGGGCGUACCAGCAGACAAAGCCUUGUGGAUCGGUGAAAGCCCGUUUCUCUUUUUGGCUCUGAAAACAACAUUAUUGCAUCGACAAGACCGCAUGACAACACCACGCUGCCCCCUGCAGGUUGAACCUGGAAGCAGUGUGAAACUGCAACGUGUACAGUAAUAUUUGUCCCACAUGCCUCAUGUAAACAGAUUUUCUCAUGUACGUUUCUAAUAAAGAGAAGAUUAUUGUUUCAUAUCAGGGAGAUGGUGGACGUUUUCUAAGGAUCCAUCCAUCCAUUUCCUACCGCUUGUCCCUUUUGGGGUCGCGGGGGUUGCUGGAGCCUAUCUCAGCUGCAUUCGGGCGGAAGGUGGCGUACACCCUGGACAAGUCGCCACCUCAUCGUAGGGCCAACACAGAUAGACAGACAACAUUCACACUCACAUUCACACCCUAGGAUCCAAUCAAUUUAUCCCCAGGUGUAUGUGUUUGGACGUGGGAGGAAUUAAACCGGAGUACCCGGAGGGAACCCACGCAGUCACGGGGAGAACAUGCAAAGUCCACACAGAAAGAUCCUAAGCCCGGGAUUGAACUCAGGACUACUCAGGACCUUUGUAAUGUGAGUCACAUGCACUAACCCCUGCCCCACCAUGCUGAGGAUGUUAACAUAUAAAAAUAACAACACAAUUCCAUAGGUGAAGGCUGUUUUUUUCUUUGGAGCCUUUUAGCUUGAUGACUAUUGAAAUAUUAAAAAUUACCCCUAGACCUUUAAUUGAUGGAAAAAGUUUGGACGCCACUAUCGUGGUUAUAUUUGUGUCUUAACUACAAUGUAUUAUUUUGGACAUUUAUGUAACAUAAUUUUUUUCCUUACAAUUCUGUGAUUUAAAUUUUUUUCAUCAAAUAAUGCUGACUAUUUCAUCGAAUACAAAUUUU